rnacentral:rRNA from 1 species
AUUGAACGCUGGCGGCAGGCCUAACACAUGCAAGUCGAGCGAGUGGCGGACGGGUGAGUAAUGUCUGGGGAACUGCCUGAUGGAGGGGGAUAACUACUGGAAACGGUAGCUAAUACCGCAUACCAUCGGAUGUGCCCAUAUGGGAUUAGCUAGUAGGUGGGGUAACGGCUCACCUAGGCGACGAUCCCUAGCUGGUCUGAGAGGAUGACCAGCCACACUGGAACUGAGACACGGCCCAGACUCCUACGGGAGGCAGCAGUGGGGAAUAUUGCACAAUGGGCGCAAGCCUGAUGCAGCCAUGCCGCGUGUAUGAAGAAGGCAUGCGGGUUGUAAAGUACUUUCAGUGGGGAGGCGUUACCGGCAGAAGAAGCACCGGCUAACUCCGUGCCAGCAGCCGCGGUAAUAC